GCUUCGGCAGUGAAGGUGACGGGGA
rnacentral:misc_RNA from 1 species